GGAGAACGCUGGCGGCGUGCCUAAUACAUGCAAGUCGUACGCUUCUUUUUCCACCGGAGCUUGCUCCACCGGAAAAAGAAGAGUGGCGAACGGGUGAGUAACACGUGGGUAACCUGCCCAUCAGAAGGGGAUAACACUUGGAAACAGGUGCUAAUACCGUAUAACAAUCGAAACCGCAUGGUUUUGAUUUGAAAGGCGCUUUCGGGUGUCGCUGAUGGAUGGACCCGCGGUGCAUUAGCUAGUUGGUGAGGUAACGGCUCACCAAGGCUACGAUGCAUAGCCGACCUGAGAGGGUGAUCGGCCACAUUGGGACUGAGACACGGCCCAAACUCCUACGGGAGGCAGCAGUAGGGAAUCUUCGGCAAUGGACGAAAGUCUGACCGAGCAACGCCGCGUGAGUGAAGAAGGUUUUCGGAUCGUAAAACUCUGUUGUUAGAGAAGAACAAGGAUGAGAGUAACUGUUCAUCCCUUGACGGUAUCUAACCAGAAAGCCACGGCUAACUACGUGCCAGCAGCCGCGGUAAUACGUAGGUGGCAAGCGUUGUCCGGAUUUAUUGGGCGUAAAGCGAGCGCAGGCGGUUUCUUAAGUCUGAUGUGAAAGCCCCCGGCUCAACCGGGGAGGGUCAUUGGAAACUGGGAGACUUGAGUGCAGAAGAGGAGAGUGGAAUUCCAUGUGUAGCGGUGAAAUGCGUAGAUAUAUGGAGGAACACCAGUGGCGAAGGCGGCUCUCUGGUCUGUAACUGACGCUGAGGCUCGAAAGCGUGGGGAGCAAACAGGAUUAGAUACCCUGGUAGUCCACGCCGUAAACGAUGAGUGCUAAGUGUUGGAGGGUUUCCGCCCUUCAGUGCUGCAGCUAACGCAUUAAGCACUCCGCCUGGGGAGUACGACCGCAAGGUUGAAACUCAAAGGAAUUGACGGGGGCCCGCACAAGCGGUGGAGCAUGUGGUUUAAUUCGAAGCAACGCGAAGAACCUUACCAGGUCUUGACAUCCUUUGACCACUCUAGAGAUAGAGCUUCCCCUUCGGGGGCAAAGUGACAGGUGGUGCAUGGUUGUCGUCAGCUCGUGUCGUGAGAUGUUGGGUUAAGUCCCGCAACGAGCGCAACCCUUAUUGUUAGUUGCCAUCAUUCAGUUGGGCACUCUAGCAAGACUGCCGGUGACAAACCGGAGGAAGGUGGGGAUGACGUCAAAUCAUCAUGCCCCUUAUGACCUGGGCUACACACGUGCUACAAUGGGAAGUACAACGAGUCGCGAAGUCGCGAGGCUAAGCUAAUCUCUUAAAGCUUCUCUCAGUUCGGAUUGUAGGCUGCAACUCGCCUACAUGAAGCCGGAAUCGCUAGUAAUCGCGGAUCAGCACGCCGCGGUGAAUACGUUCCCGGGCCUUGUACACACCGCCCGUCACACCACGAGAGUUUGUAACACCCGAAGUCGGUGAGGUAACCUUUUGGAGCCAGCCGCCUAAGGUGGGAUAGAUGAUUGG
rnacentral:rRNA from 1 species